rnacentral:rRNA from 1 species
GCAAGCGUUGUUCGGAAUUACUGGGCGUAAAGGGCUCGUAGGCGGCCAACUAAGUCAUACGUGAAAUCCCUCGGCUUAACCGGGGAACUGCGUCUGAUACUGGAUGGCUUGAGUUCGGGAGAGGGAUGCGGAAUUCCAGGUGUAGCGGUGAAAUGCGUAGAUAUCUGGAGGAACACCGGUGGCGAAGGCGGCAUCCUGGACCGAUACUGACGCUGAGGAGCGAAAGCCAGGGGAGCAAACGGG